CGGAGCAAGGGUCGAAAGAAAAACACGAACGAGGCGAGGCGACUCACAUUCGGGGUUUGGCCUGCCGCGCAAGAGCUGCAAAAUUUUAGUUAAUUUUUCUCCUAGCAGCUCAAACCCGAGGUUGGAAGGGACGAGGCGCACGAUUUCUCGUUUGCAGCGAAAUAUCGAAAAGUUUUCCGCAAAGUACGCGGAUCCGCGGGUGCGUGCGUGUGUCCCGUUUUAAUCGUGUUGUAGCUUUGCUCUUCCAUAUUAGCCUGUGUACGUGAAGCUGUGUGUGCAUUCGUCAAUUUUGCGGUGAAAUCAUACGCGCUCUGGUGGUGUAAAGUUGUUAAUUGAAGGGAAACAAAACCGAGAACGGGCUCGGAUUAAGCUUAACCCCCCAAUCUUCCGCCCAGCCAGUGUGUGUGUGUUCGUGCCGUCGUCUGCCCGUAAUCAAUCAAGGGUCCAUAUUUUCCGGAGCCUCUCAUAUUACACCGACGACGCACCUUGCCCUUUCCUGUAGCCGGAGACAACACAGUGUGAAACGAAGUGAAAAGUUGGUGAAACUUUUUCGGGGGGGUGAGCAAUUUUGAACCAAAGUCCAAGAAAGAGAACAUUCCCAUCGAUAACGGGCUCUAUACCCGCAAGUGGACCAGUGGAGCAGAAGUAAACCGGAAGGAAGACCGUAGCAGAAGAAGAAAAAAAAACAUCCCGGACGAGCACUUCCGACAGUUUGCGCCAGGCCCUCAAAAGACACCUUAUCACAAUGGAUAAAAGGAAACUAUCUACAUCCGGGGACACCCUCUACCAGACACUGGGCCUACAGAAGACGGCAACGGCGGACGAGAUUAAGAAGACGUACCGAAAACUGGCCCUCAAGUAUCACCCGGACAAGAACCCCAACAAUCCCGAUGCGGCAGAUAAGUUCAAAGAAGUAAAUCGUGCUCAUUCCAUUCUGAGUGAUUUGACGAAGCGAAACAUCUACGACAACUAUGGUUCGCUCGGACUGUACAUCGCGGAACAGUUUGGCGAAGAGAACGUCAACGCUUACUUCGUCGUCACGUCGCCCACGUGCAAGGCACUGUUUAUGAUUUGUGGUAUCAUCACCGGAUGUUAUUGUUGCUGCUGCUGUUGCUGCUGCUGUAACUUCUGCUUUGGCAAAUACAAACCAGUACCGCCGGAGAAUGCGGGAGACUAUCAUCAUCUACACAGAGAUGGUGCCGCAAGUAGUAGCAACGCGCGGGAAGGAACGGCCGUCACAGAACAGCCAACGCGAAGAGAGGAUUUGCAAGAUCUGGACGAUAAUGGAGGAGGCAGUGGUGGCCCGGUGACGUCACAGCCACAGGCGGGACAGGCACAGGGAGCUGGUAUGCCCGUGUACGCCAUGCCACCGCCGUCGUCCAAUCCGACGAAUCCGUUCACUGGCGCCGCCACCGAGAGCACGGGGCUGAACACGGGCAAUCAACCGAUCUACACGCCAGGCCACUAAAAUGCAUCUCGAUUUGGAAUUCGAUAACCAGCUUCUGCUAUUACAAAAACGUUACACACAAAAAAGCAAAACAAAAACAAACAAAAAACAAUAAGAAUAUGAUUUGCUCCAAUUUUGAAGUUGUCCCAGUAUCCCAGUUUAGUUCAAAUCACCUGCGCAAACAUCAACAACGCACCAAGUGCAACGGCUACAAUUCUUCCACAUUGAUGUUGCCUUUGUUUUUGUUUGUGUUGUUGCUGUAUCUUUAGCUUUGAAGAAACUGUAGAAAACGUUCCAUUCUACUGGGAUGGAAAAAUAAAGCGAAAAAUCCGAUCCGAUUCCCCUUUUCGUGGUGAUGUAUGAAGUGAGCGUAUUAAUCGUCGCCAUCAAUAACACGAUACGGUUCGAAGGGAGGGAACCCGGUUACAUGGACGCAAGGGAUAAGGGCGCGAUAAGGCACAAGUUGAGUCAUGCCCAGCGGCGCCGCACCCCUCCAUUUAUCCCGCAUCCCUUAUAUUUGUGCAGCGAAUAGCACCCGAACCCGAAAUCAAACACUCCCUAUAACAAUAUGCUGUCACAAUAAUAAGCAACUGUAAUAAUAAUCGUCGCUAGAACCAGGACCGCGAGCAUCUCCUCCCUGCCUGCCUGCAAACAAAACACGGUGGUUGGUGGAAGGCACCCGUACAUACGCAAAGGGCAGCAGAGGAGCGAAGAAACAAAAGUAUCUUUUUAGGGUAUAUUUAUACGUUUAAGUAAUGGCAAAUAACAACAGUUAGUAGAAGCCCCCUUUUCUGUGUGCUUAUAUGUAUGUGUGCGUGUGUGUACGUGUAUUUAUCCUAGUGAGGCUACUUCCCACUGGAUGCCUCAGAGGAAGAGGAGACAAGAGAGUGGCGCAAAAGCAGCAGUAGAAGAGGAAGAACAAAAUCAAAACAAUUUAAGAAGCUAACAAUAAUACUUUUAUCUUGCUGUGUGUUGCCGCUAGUAUCCGUAUGCUCUACAUACUACUAAAUCCCAUCCAUUUCGGUAACACGCGCUCAAGUAAAACAGUAAACAUUAACAGAGAGCCACAAUCACACACAGCAUUAACGUUAUCGCAACUCAUUUGGAAGACUCCAUAAAUUAGCGAAUGUAUUUUCUGGUUCAAAACGGCGAUUUCGAUUAUUCGCGAUAACAUAUUAAAAUUGAACGAUUUAGUGGUGUGUAGAUAUAUAUACAUGUAUGUAUGCGCCAGCUAUACCAUUUAGAGCUGAUCUUAUGGGAACGUGUUUCCUCCUCAUUUAUUAAGUGUUACUAAUUCGAUUUUUGCAAAUACUACUUCAAUUUCGAGUGUGAAACCCGUUAUGCAUAUUACGAUACUAAGAAAAACGGAGCAGAACGUGCACACACACACACACAGGGGGAUGGUGCACCUCGGGAGACAGUGACGGAACAGUUCAUUAUUAUAAUCCGGUGUCACAUCCCGUAGGACCGGAGCUUUCGGACGGACAAAAACUCCUUAAAAGUGUAGCAAUUAAUUGCGCAAGUUAUGUUGUGUGAGUGUGUGUAUUUAAGGGUACAACGUGCAUGCCCUCCUCUCCUGCAUAUGCCACACCACUGUGCAGAUAGUUAUUGUACUGUACGAACGACCGUAGGACGAGAUGAUGUAUGAUGAUGAUGAAGACAAAGAGUAGAAGAUGCAAAAGAAUAUAUCUAUAUACAUACAAAAUUCAUAAAUCUUAUAUAUCCAUUUAUCCCCCAAAAUUCCAAAGCAUUUGAAGCACACACACACACACACACACACACACACACACACACACACACACACACACACACACACACACACACACACACACACACACACACACACGAACCUUUAAUUAGAGGAGACGUUGUUAGAGAACGGUUAAAUUGUUGCUGAGUGUGUACGGUAAGGAGUUGUAGGGCAUGUGAAAAGGAACGAGUAUCAAGAGAACAAGUAUAGGACCGUUGGGAUAGGGGGAGAAAGUACUGGAAGCAGCGAUUGCUCGAAUAAGACGCGGAAUAAUCUAACAACAACAACUCACAACGACAACACGAACGCUCUGGACGCGGGACACAGGACACGUGCACGUUAAUUACGACAAUUACAGCAAAACAUUAUAUAUUGUAAAAUAUAUUGAACGGUGGUGCGGACGAGAGAGAAGGCCGUUCGAAGCGAAUGGGAAAUGACAACACUACAAUAACCGUUACGGAAGCAAAAACAAAAUAAACUAAAACCUGAACGACGAAA